UGGGCCGGGGGGCGGGGCGUCGCGAGGCGGGCGGAAGCGGAGCGUGUGGCGCUGGCUGGGCCGGGCGGGGCGCGGGUGCGGGCCGGCAGCGAAGAGCUCUCUGAAGAUGUCUGGCUCAUUGCUUCAAACUCUCUGGACAUUUACUUUUUAACUGCUGAAGCUUUUCUAGCAUUUGCUGCCUUUCUGAAGCCUUGACUUAUUGAAGGAUCAAAAUUGGCUCCUAUGGAAUCAAGACCAACUAAAACAUGGAAAAGAUGUAUUCAAGAUGAUCCAGCCAGAGGAUUUUUCACUUUAUAGAAGUCGUCUUUUUGUUUAAUAUGUAACGUAAUUUGACUAAGUCAAUUUCAGUUUCUUUUCUUGAGAUAAAGACACACGUGUGGCCUUCAUCAGAAAU